GAUGAACGCUGGCGGCGUGCCUAAUACAUGCAAGUCGAGCGAACAGACGAGGAGCUUGCUCCUCUGACGUUAGCGGCGGACGGGUGAGUAACACGUGGAUAACCUACCUAUAAGACUGGGAUAACUUCGGGAAACCGGAGCUAAUACCGGAUAAUAUAUUGAACCGCAUGGUUCAAUAGUGGAAGACGGUUUUGCUGUCACUUAUAGAUGGAUCCACGCCGCAUUAGCUAGUUGGUAAGGUAACGGCUUACCAAGGCAACGAUGCGUAGCCGACCUGAGAGGGUGAUCGGCCACACUGGAACUGAGACACGGUCCAGACUCCUACGGGAGGCAGCAGUAGGGAAUCUUCCGCAAUGUGCGAAAGCCUGACGGAGCAACGCCGCGUGAGUGAUGAAGGUCUUCGGAUCGUAAAACUCUGUUAUUAGGGAAGAACAAAUGUGUAAGUAACUAUGCACGUCUUGACGGUACCUAAUCAGAAAGCCACGGCUAACUACGUG
rnacentral:rRNA from 1 species